rnacentral:rRNA from 1 species
GCUAAACGCGAAGAACCUUACCUGGGCUAGAAAGUGUAGGAACCUGGCCGAAAGGCUGGGGUGCCCUUCGGGGAAUCUACAGUUAGGUGCUGCAUGGCUGUCGUCAGCUCGUGUCGUGAGAUGUUGGGUUAAGUCCCGCAACGAGCGCAACCCUUGUCCCUAGUUGCCAGCACGUAAUGGUGGGAACUCUAGGGAGACUGCCGGUGACAAACCGGAGGAAGGUGGGGAUGACGUCAAGUCCUCAUGGCCCUUACGGCCAGGGCUACACACGUACUACAAUGGUCGGUACAGAGGGUUGCGAAGCCGCGAGGUGGAGCCAAUCCCAGAAAGCCGAUCCCAGUCCGGAUCGGAGUCUGCAACUCGACUCCGUGAAGUCGGAAUCGCUAGUAAUCGCGAAUCAGAAUGUC